rnacentral:lncRNA from 14 species
AGAAAAUUGACUCAAAGACAAUGGGGCAGGAAUACAAGGCCGAGAAAUAAGCAUCCAGCCAAUGUCAGGAAGAAACACUUGGUUUAUAUGUGCCUUGAUGGUAUCUCUACCAGGAUUCUGCCUCAAAAACACUUUCGAAUAUUGUCUUUGUUCCUUCUCUCUUCCAUCAGAAAACCCGCCAAAACCUUGUUAGCCUUUUCAUCAUCAUCGCUGGCACAUGGUCCCUAUGUUGUGUCCCAGGAGCUCCCACUGCCGCUGCAUUCCCAGAAGGAGGAGGAGGAAGAAGAGCUGCCUCACCUGCUGCUCCCUGACAGUAUUGAUGUGCUGAAGAAGGUAGACAGGAAGUACAAAAAGAAGAAGAAGAAGCAGCAGAAGAAGCAAAGAUUGAGACAGUUUAACGACCUCUGGGUUCGCCUAGAGGAAAGUGCCACCAACCCUCCUCCUCGGAUUCGCAUCAUUAAUGGCUACAUCACGGUUGAACCCCAGCCGCGGGGCCACGGACGGUCCAGUCACGCUCGUGUGGACACUGGCAGCACUUAUGAGCUCUCCUGUUCUUUAUUCCUCACGCUGCUGACUUUGACUUUGCAUAUGAUAAGGCUUCAUUGAAACAUAGGAAGAGUCAAGCUGCAGGGCUCUGCAGCUUGCAGUGAAAAGAAACUUACGUGGAAAAAAUACCACAAAAAACAACAAACCAAAAAUAGAAGACUCUGAGUGGGACACCUGUUCUUUGGGUGUUCUUAAACUGUCUACUUUUCCUGAGUCUGGAUCAUUAACACUAUUAGCUGGUUUGACCUGCCCAAUACAGGAGAAGAUAUUUUAAUGAAAGUGUUAUUUAUCCUUCUCUUGCAGAAGAAUGAUUUCAUGUUAUCCCAUAAUGCUUUGGGGAGAUUAUAAUGUUGCUAUAACAUAGCUGUUGUCUAGCUGUGUGAGCCCAACUAAAUUACAUAUUUUUUCACCUUCGGUGCCUUGUAAAAUUAUUUACAUACCACUAUCUUGUUUAUUAGAACAGAAUAUUUUUCAUAUGAGUGCAGCUGGGUAAGAGAGGUUGAUAUUUUAUGUCUCUACUGGUAAUGCUUUUAAUUCUUGCUUGUUAGGGCUCCAGAUUAUUGCAUAUAAAGGUUCAUGACAACACCUUCUACAAUAGAAUAAAACAGUAGAGACUUGUUAACA